rnacentral:rRNA from 1 species
CAGCCGCCGCGGGAAUACGUAGGUCCCGAGCGUUGUCCGGAUUUAUUGGGCGUAAAGCGAGCGCAGGCGGUUAGAUAAGUCUGAAGUUAAAGGCUGUGGCUUAACCAUAGUACGCUUUGGAAACUGUUUAACUUGAGUGCAAGAGGGGAGAGUGGAAUUCCAUGUGUAGCGGUGAAAUGCGUUGAGAUCGGAAAGAACACCAACGGCGAAAGCACUCUGCUGGGCCGACGUUGACACUGAGAGACGAACGCUAGGGGAGAAAAUGGGAUUAGAUACCCCUGUAGUCCCUGUCUCUUAUGCA